rnacentral:tRNA from 1 species
GGGGAUGUAGCUCCCAGGUAAAGUACUUGCCUAGGAAGCAUGAAGCUCUGGGUUCAAUCCCUAGUACCAUCA